UUAGUAUAUACCCAUAUGUUGAUGAUGUAUAUACCACUGCCACUUGGAGAUCAUUAUAUGAGGAAACUAUUAAUCCAAUAGGUGUUCCUGAAGAUGAAUGGCGCGUCCCAGAGGUUGUUGAAUCUGCAAAAGUUUUACCACCUGCAACAAGAAGACAACCUGGUAGACGAAGAAAACGAAGAUAUAAAUCAGCUGAAGACAAGAUAAAAGCAUCACAACAGUCACAAUUAUCAAAAAAGCAUAAGUGCGGUCGUUGUGGUAAAGAAGGCCAUAAUCGAGUAACAUGUGAUGUAACAAUAUAAGGAUUAUGUUGCAACUGCUCUCAUUGAACGUUUCUAGUUACCACUAUAUGGAUUUUGAACUUCUUUCUCAUUUCAUGAUUAUUUUCGCAUUUUUUAUUUCAGAUUUGAAUUUCCUAGUACUCUAUGUUUGAAUUUUUGUUCUCAUAAUUGGAAUCCCUACUACUCUUAUGUUCGUGGUUUUGCUUUGAGUUUCGGAUUGACUUAUCACUAAAUUAA